GUAGUUGUAGAUGUUGUUGUAGGUGUUGUAGGUGUCACAGUGGUAGUUGUAGUGGUUGUAGUUGUAGGUGUCAAAGUAGUGGUUGUAGUAGUAGUGGUUGUAGUUGUGGAUGUAGUUGUAGUAGUUGGAGGUGUAGUUGUUGGUGUCAAGGUAGUCGUCGUAGUAGAUGUGGAUGUAGUUGUACUUGUUGGUGGAGUUGUAGGUGUCACUGUGGUGGUUGUUGUGGGUGUAGUUGUUGGUGUCAAGGUAGUUGUUGUAGGUGUUGUGGAUGUAGUUGUAGAUGUUGUUGUAGGUGUCACAGUGGUAGUUGUAGUGGUUGUAGUUGUAGGUGUCAAAGUAGUGGUUGUAGUAGUAGUGGUUGUAGUUGUGGAUGUAGUUGUAGUAGUUGGAGGUGUAGUUGUUGGUGUCAAGGUAGUCGUCGUAGUAGAUGUGGAUGUAGUUGUACUUGUUGGUGGAGUUGUAGGUGUCACUGUGGUGGUUGUUGUGGGUUUAGUUGUAGGUGUCAAGGUAGUUGUAGUCGUAGUGGAUGUAGUUGUACUUGUUGGUGGAGUUGUAGGUGUCACUGUGGUGGUUGUUGUGGGUGUAGUUGUUGGUGUCAAGGUAGUUGUUGUAGGUGUUGUGGAUGUAGUUGUAGAUGUUGUUGUAGGUGUUGUAGGUGUCACAGUGGUAGUUGUAGUGGUUGUAGUUGUAGGUGUCAAAGUAGUGGUUGUAGUAGUAGUGGUUGUAGUUGUGGAUGUAGUUGUAGUAGUUGGAGGUGUAGUUGUUGGUGUCAAGGUAGUCGUCGUAAUAGAUGUGGAUGUAGUUGUACUUGUUGGUGGAGUUGUAGGUGUCA
rnacentral:lncRNA from 1 species